rnacentral:rRNA from 1 species
CACGUAGGGCGCAAGCGUUGUCCGGAAUUAUUGGGCGUAAAGAGCUCGUAGGCGGUCUGUUGCGUCCGCUGUGAAAACUCGGGGCUUAACCCCGAGCCUGCAGUGGAUACGGGCAGACUAGAGGUAGGUAGGGGAGAAUGGAAUUCCCGGUGUAGCGGUGAAAUGCGUUGAGAUCGGAAGGAACGCCCGUGGCGAAAGCGAGGCCCUGGACCCUUUCUGACGCUGAGACGCGAAAGCCAGGGGAGCGAACGGG